rnacentral:rRNA from 1 species
UACGGGGGGGGCAAGCGUUGUUCGGAAUUACUGGGCGUAAAGGGCUCAUAGGCGGCCAACUAAGUCGGACGUGAAAUCCCUCGGCUUAACCGGGGAACUGCGUCCGAUACUGGAUGGCUUGAGUUUGGGAGAGGGAUGCGGAAUUCCAGGUGUAGCGGUGAAAUGCGUAGAUAUCUGGAGGAACACCGGUGGCGAAGGCGGCAUCCUGGACCAACACUGACGCUGAUGAGCGAAAGCCAGGGGAGCAAACGGG